rnacentral:tRNA from 1 species
GCCCUGGUGGCACAGUGGUUAAAGCAAUCGACUGCUAAUCGAAAGGUUGGUGGUUCGAAACCACCAAUGGCU